GAUGAACGCUGGCGGCGUGCUUAACACAUGCAAGUCGAACGAAGCACUUUGAAAGCUUGCUUUUGGAGUGACUGAGUGGCGGACGGGUGAGUAACGCGUGGGUAACCUGCCUUAUACAGGGGGAUAACAGUUGGAAACGACUGCUAAUACCGCAUAAGCGCACAGUGCUGCAUGGCACAGUGUGAAAAACUCCGGUGGUAUAAGAUGGACCCGCGUCUGAUUAGCUAGUUGGUGAGGUAACGGCUCACCAAGGCGACGAUCAGUAGCCGGCUUGAGAGAGUGAUCGGCCACAGUGGGACUGAAACACGGCCCAAACUCCUACGGGAGGCAGCAGUGGGGAAUAUUGCACAAUGGGGGAAACCCUGAUGCAGCAACGCCGCGUGAGUGAAGAAGUAUUUCGGUAUGUAAAGCUCUAUCAGCAGGGAAGAUAAUGACGGUACCUGACUAAGAAGCCCCGGCUAACUACGUGCCAGCCGCCGCGGUAACAC
rnacentral:rRNA from 1 species